AAUAAAUCUUACAUAAGCUGAACUUUCAAUUUCAUAAAUUCCAAUAAAGUGGUGGUUGAUGAUGGAGCAAACGAUAUGGGGUCAUUUGCCGGUGCUGAUGAGGGCAAAUUCCAAAGAAUCUAUCGAAUACAUUCUUCAAGUCCUUUGGAGAACUCGAAAGAGUGGUCUUGGCACUUCUGAUCGAUGCGUCAUCCAAGACAUGCUUCAACUACACAAUGAAUCUGAUCUCGACCCACUUCUGGUUUGCCUCCGAAUGUUAAUUAGGAGGUGUGUUUAUGAGAAUACUUCAAAGGAGGAUAUUCCAAAGCUGUUUCCGGAUGAAGUUCUGCCUGAAUUGCAAAAACUGUUGACACUUCUGUUGCAGAAGUUUCAGCGAGAGUGGCAAGAAGAUGUGAUGAAAGAUCAAAAUAUUGUGCCUAGAUUAAAGGCGAUGACAUGGAAUAUGGCAAAUCUGGAGAAAGGAUCAGCAGACCCUGCAGCGGUUAUUGAUUUGAAGCUUCAAAAUGAUGCUCCAUUUCAGUCGGGAGUUCAAGAUGUAAAUUUCCAGUUGGCUACAGAUUCUAUAGAUAUGAUGCUGAAAACCAUGCACUGUAUUAGAGACCAGUUUUCUACCAUGGAUGAGGCACUAAAUGGGCAUUAGCACCAGUAAACCGAAGGAGUUUCUUAGAACUUGUUUUUACAAGGAAUGAGGUUAAAUUGGCUCUAUGGUUGAGCUCAACUGAAAACAUGAGAUUUUGAAUACAUAAUGUUAUUGUAAUUUAGAUUCUCAAUUCUCAGAGGCUGAGCCGUGGCGUAAUGCAGGAGGACAUCGAUGACAGACCCAGCAGGGGGAAUCAAGAUUUGGGCUUCAGCCUCAACUGGCGAAAUCAUUUACAUAGUUUAGUAUUUCCUAUAUAGGAAAGAAAUAUGGUUAACAGUCACGGUUUUUGGUUAAGAUAAUUCCAAUGCUAUUAGUUAAAUUUCUAGUUUAAUGGAUUUAGCAAUUCCCUUUUCCUAGUGAGAAACUCCUUUGAUUGUGGAUGGGACACCCUCGUACAUAACUUCCUGCCAGUCAUUUUUUUCUCUCGUUUUCCCUUUGCUUUCUCAAGUUGUAAACAUGAAGAUCUUUGGAUUCCCUUUAUGGAUUACUUUAUUGGGCA